UCAUACUCACUUCCAGGCUUUCCAGGUC
rnacentral:piRNA from 1 species